AAAGGACUCAAAUAAAAAUCACAAAUGAAGGAGAAAUAACAACCAACACCUCAGAAAUACAAAUUGAAGAGAAUAUCAUGAGAAACUAUAUGCCUACAAAAUUAGACAACCUAGAAGAAAUGGAUAAAUUCUUAGAAACAUACAACCUACCAAAAUUAAAGCAGGAAGAAAUAGAAAAUUUUAACAGACUGAUUACCAGCAAGGAGAUUGUAUCAGUAAUCAACAAACUCCUAACAAACAAAAUCAGACAAAGAUAUCA